AUUGAACGCUGGCGGCAUGCUUUACACAUGCAAGUCGAACGGCAGCGCGGGGCAACCUGGCGGCGAGUGGCGAACGGGUGAGUAAUAUAUCGGAACGUACCCAAGAGUGGGGGAUAACGUAGCGAAAGUUACGCUAAUACCGCAUACGAUCUAUGGAUGAAAGCAGGGGAUCUUCGGACCUUGUGCUCCUGGAGCGGCCGAUAUCUGAUUAGCUAGUUGGUGAGGUAAAGGCUCACAAAGGCGACGAUCAGUAGCUGGUAUGAGAGGACGACCAGCCAAACGGGAACUGAGACACGGUCCAGGCUCCUACGGGAGGCAGCAGUGGGGAAUUUUGGACAAUGGGCGCAAGCCUGAUCCAGCAAUGCCGCGUGAGUGAAGAAGGCCUUCGGGUUGUAAAGCUCUUUUGUCAGGGAAGAAACGGUUGGGGCUAAUAUCCUCGGCUAAUGACGGUACCUGAAGAAUAAGCACCGGCUAACUACGUGCCAGCCGCCGCAGUAACAC
rnacentral:rRNA from 1 species